AGCCCUCCCUGACCUCCCCCACCCAGGCUAAACAAACUGGAGUCAGCACCUUCCUGCUCUCAUUCAUCAGCACUUCAUCUUCCACUGCGGGCUGGGCCUCUUGGUUUACAGCUUCUCCUCUGCUCAGCACUCAGGGGACAGCAGUCGCGUAGAGCAUGGGAAGGGGGACCCGGUCCCUACACUGUGGUCCUCACUGUCCACUCAGGCCCCUUGAUCUGCGGUGGAGAAGGCAAAGGGCGAGUCGGGCGGGGUCGCGGUGGGGCGGUGGGGGUGGCUACAGAACAGAAGUGGGAAUGGAUGGAGUGCACAAGGGCUGGACUCCGACGACCCUGGCUGUCAAUCUCGGCAGUGAGUUCUCCCUGAGCCUCAGCUUCCUCCUCUGGAAAACGGGGAUGACAGCCCUACCCGGCAAAACCAACUUGAACGGCCCCAGCGCCGGGCCCAGGAGGCAUCCUGCAGGUGCUUUAACCAGCUUAGCAGGCGGGCAGCUGGGCUUGGUGCCUAGGCGGUCUGGUCUCUUGGAUGGGAGGGUCCGGGGCAUGGAGGGGAAAGCGGAGCCCCAAACCUGUAACUCACAUGGAUCCACUCAGCUACCAAGUAAUGCGACCGGUUCCUCCGCACGCCCACCUCUCCUUCUCCCGGCUCCGCCAGGGGCCGAGGGUCCUGCAAACGCAAACCUGCAGCAAAUAACGCUGAUUAUAGCAUUUACGAGCCUUUUCUGAGGCUCCUCACUCAACCUCUCGGUCUCUCCUCUAUCACGUGGGGUCAGCGCUGGGUGGGCACGUGCGGGUCCAGAGGAGCAGGGCCCCUGCCUCUCAUCAAGCCUUGAGGUCCGGAGGCCUUGAGGUUCAGUAAGGACAGAGGGACAGGGCUGGAUAAUAAAAUGGGGGGCGGGGGGACCUCUGGCUGUCACGCACAGAUACUGGGCAACCCGCCCCCGACCCCGGAGGAUGCCUUACGCAUGCGCGUGGCGCUGGGUUCCUUCAUGUCCGUCAAAUAGCAGAGGCGGUGCGUCCGGGCCCACGUGUACGUGCCCACGCGUGCGUGCGCAGCGUUUGCUGACUCCGCCCCGGGUACCCGGGAGAAACUGAGGCACCGAGCAGGGUGGUGGCUUGUUGGGAGCUUCAGAGCUGGCGUUCCACCAGUGCUACCUUUCCGAGGGGACCUGCGGACCAGCCAGGUCAAAUGGCUGGCAGCUCCGCAUGCUCUAGGGAAUAUCUCAUUUUGAUCCACAUGGCCUGGAAAGGCUGGGACUUGUAGAACCAUUUCACUGAAUGUUCACCGGAAGGACUGAUGCUGAAGCUGAAACUCCAAUACUUGGGCCACCUGAUGAAAAGAGCUGACUCAUUUGAAAAGACCCUGAUGUUGGGAAAGGUUGAAAGAGGGAGGAGAAGGGGACAACAGAGGAUGAGAUGGUUGGAGGGCAUCACCGACUCUAUGGACAUGAGUUUGGGUAAACUCCAGGAGUUGGUGAUGGACAGGGAAGCCUGGUGUGCUGCGGUUCAUGGGGUCGCAGAGUCGGACACAACUGAGCGACUGAACUAAACACUGGUGUGGAGUCUGAGACCUGGGGAGCCAAAGGGACUCACCCCGGGUCACACACAUGGGAAGCAGACGGAUCUGAACCCAGGACCGCAGGAUGACAGUGGCACAGCUUUGACUGGACUUCGCUCGUGGGGAAGAGGGAACAGCCAGACCUAGGAGUUCCCACUCCAACCUGAGUGGCGGGGUGGCCCUGAGCAAGUCACUUCCCUUUUCUCCUCCCCCAUAAAUGGGCCUGACAGUCCAUGUGGUGUGAAGGAUGAAGUUCACGUUCAAUCCUGAGUCAUCCUGUAAGGGCUCUGUAAACCCCAGGACUUGGGUGCCCCUUCCCCUGGGAAGCCUGCCUUGGUUGCUCCCAGGGGCCUGGCUGCCUGAACGCUCCUCUGUGUAUCUUCAAGGCAUCAUCACAGCUGGGUCCUGGGGCGUACAGUAGGUGGUCACUCAAAAUCCGCUGGAAUGAGGAUGGCCAGACAGGCUUGGGUUCAAAUCCAGGGCCACUGCCUUGCCUCCCUGAGCCUCAGUUUACUCAUCCAUCAAAUGGGAUCACUAGCACCGCCCUUCGAUGGCUUCCUUGAGGAUUGACUGGGAUAUGUCUGGUGCACAGUAGGUGCUCAGCCCCCAUGACUGUUCAGUGAACAGCAGCGUCCUGCUCAGCUCUGGCCUUCCCCUGCCUCCUCGGGGCUCCAUCUGUGGGGGCACCUCCCCUCUGUUCAGGGAUCGCCUGCCCCGGGCAGCUGGCCCCCUGGAGCGGGCAACAGCCUGAGAAUGUGGGUGGGGUCCCCGGGGGCGGCCCUGCCCCCAGCCCCCUGCCGCUGCCGGACAGAGGCCUCAGUGUGGAGCUGCCGGGGUCCUUUCCCGGGCCCAGACCCAUGACUGGACGUCUGAGAAUGCCGCCCAUUAUCCGACUCACAGAGCACAAA
ensembl:lncRNA